rnacentral:rRNA from 1 species
AGUGAACGUUGGCGGCGUGGAUUAGGCAUGCAAGUCGAGCGAGAACCGUAGCAAUACGGGGACAGCGGCGAAAGGGACAGUAAUGUGUAGGUACCUACCUCCGGGUUCGGGAUAGCUGCGGGAAACUGCAGGUAAUACCGAAUAACGUCUCCGGACCAAAGGUGUGAUUCCACCUGGAGAGGGGCCUGCAUCCUAUUAGCUAGUUGGGGAGGUAACGGCUCACCAAGGCGACGACGGGUAGCGGGUGUGAGAGCACGACCCGCGUCAUUGGGACUGAGACACUGCCCAGACACCUACGGGUGGCUGCAGUCGAGGAACUUCGGCAAUGGGCGCAAGCCUGACCGAGCGACGCCGCGUGCGGGAUGAAGGCCUUCGGGUUGUAAACCGCUGUCGUAGAGGAGGAAAUGCAGGGGGGUUCUCCCCUCUGCUUGACCUAUUCUAGGAGGAAGGACGGGCUAAGUUCGUGCCAGCAGCCGCGGUAA